UUUAAACAUCUGAGACUCGCUAUUAGUGAUCACUGACAAUAAAUAAAUUUGCAAACAAUUCACAAGUUACAGCGCCUGAAGCAAAAAAUGCUAUCCUAUCCAACAAAACCGUGCACAUAUUGCCAAUCAUUAAUCAUUCAAAACGAUUCCCGCGUUGGUUUUCACGACAACUCAAAAUCCAUCAGUUAAGAAAAUUGAAGUGGGACAGAGUCGAAGACCAAACCAAGCCAACUCUUAACAAAGUGAUCGCAACACUAGUAAUACACUGUCAAAUACAACCAUCCACGUAAUUUCAAGGACAAUGAUUCCUAGUUCCCACACACAAAACGAAGUUUAGUACAUGGCAAAUGAACGAAGGCAUGGCACCUUGUAGGGUCUACUUAGUAUUGCCAAGGCUGUCAUACAUUAAAGAUAAACAAGCCAACAAAACAACACAGUUCUACAGUCAUCUUUCUUUGAACCUCACCCAAAUAUCAGACAAAAGACCAGUUUAUAAACAUAAAGCAGACGCAGUGUGCAGUUUCUUCUUCAUUUAACACCUUCCAUGCCACUGCCCGCUCAUAUGAGACUGGUCUCCCCAUGCUCGACAAGCAGAUUCCACCUUGAAGACAAGCAAAACCCUAGCAGAAGAAAGACAUGUAAGGCAAAGCGCACAUAGUCAUCAAGUGUAUAUAUAUUAUUUAGAUAUGUUCUAAAAUACGCAAGUUUUUGAACAGCAAGUCCGGUAUUUCCAUAGCUUUUACCAAGUAAGAAUGCUAAAAUAUCCUGGAAUGACUCAAAUCAUGCUAAUGCUUGAUUUCUUCAGCAUCAUUUCUUAAGCCUCAUAUGCAUGAUUUCUUUUAUUUACAUUUUUCCUGCUUCUGAUCAGAUUUAUGGGAGAAACUGCAAACCUGUUGCAUUAUCUGUGGAAACUCUGAGCAGAGAGUCUUCCGACCAUGGUCAUCAAAUAUCUUUUCCAAAGUUAUGUCUUGCAAGGCUACCAAAGUAGUCUCCAACAUGUCAAGCCCUGCUUGGUUUGCAAAAGUGAAGACUGGCAAAGCCUGCAUAUGCUUACAGUAUUAGAGCAAAUUUCAAAUAUUAGCUAUGGAAACCGGGAAACAAUUUAGAAGAAUCACAUAACUUGGAAUUCAAGUCUAAAUAAGGAAACUGUAAUUGCAUCUAAAUGAAAAGCACCUGAUAAUAUAAACUCAACAUGCAUUAAGAGAGAAAAUUUUUAAACUAAGGUUUGAAUAAAUCACAAAAAUUUGGAAAAGACUCUUUUCUUUUUUUUAAAUUCAUAGAAAAAAAAUCAACACUACUAGAAGAUGCAUCAAAAAAAUUCUAUUCAAUCUAUUUAUCAUAGUGUUGUACAUCAUAGCGUUGUACAGCAUCUCCUUCAGAACAUAUAUUUCAUAGGUGGGUAGAUAAGAUUUUAAAGAUUUCAAAUUUAGGUGAGGGAAUAUUGUAAGAUUCAAAAAAGGCGAGGGAAUAUGAUAGUUGCCUGCACCUUCAGAGAGCAGCACAUGAUAGCAUCUGAGUGAUGCCACAAAGUUUUGAGAAUGGUUUCGCUUCCUUCACUGCUUGAUUUGAGUAACUCCACACCCAAGUAGCACCUAUAGCUCUGGCAGAUCCAACGAGCAAGCGUCUGUGCUUCAGGAGUACCAAGUGGAGGCCGAAGACCAGCAUGUGACCCCAAAUGAGAAGGAGAGAGUGCUAAUGCCACUCUCUGAACUGAUGAUAUGAUACUUCGGACAUAUUGUCGAGCCAUUGAUGCUACAUGGUCUUGCAUAUGGCUUUCAAAUGCAAAUUCAAAUGCAAUUGUCAUCACAGAUCUCAUACAUCCAGAAUUAGCAGUAUAAUCGGUAGAGGAUUUGUUUCCAGCUGGUCCAGUUUCAAGAGCAGAAGCAAGAUCCAGGGUGCGAUUUGGACUGGAGGCUUCCUUUGCAGAAUCAAGGGGAAUUAUGCGAAAACCCGAAGGCAGAAGAGGCGCAUCAUCUGCAAAGGAUGCAUCAAUGGGAGCAAAUAUAAGUUCAGCACAGGUGCCGAUAGCAUUCUCAUCCAUUCCACUACAGAGUUGCAAUAGAAACAUGUCCCUAGGCAUCAUUGGAUCUUCAGGAGAAUGGCCCACACCUUCCAAUUUAAUGACCUCCAAAAACUCUUCAUGCUCAAUAGUAUGAGCAAGAGGGAGUAUGACUUGACCUCCAAAACUUCCAACUCGAGACCCUGGUAAGCUACAAGGACCAACUUUAAUUGCAGCAGCUGAGUAAGCAUCAAUAUUGUUGUCUGCCCAUUCUGACCUGUGCUCCCGCAAGAACCUAAGAAGGAUUGCAGGAGGAACAUUCUGUAAAAGCAUCGAUGCUUUGGCACACAAAACUGCAUUGCUGACAGCUGGAAAUCCAUUAGUAAAGGAAAGAUUUAAACCCAUUAACUUCUCAGGUGAGGAAUUCACCAGGACAGUCACAUCAUCCAUGCCAUCAUUUCCCAUCAUUGACCAUCCCUCAUCAGUAAAACCAUUGAGUGCCUCAUUAAAACCCCUGCUUAACCUCUGACUCAAUGAUCGUAGUGCUGCUGGUCGUCUGCCCCAGUUGGUUACAUUAGACUGAGAAACCUCCUGAGCAAUCUGCCUUAGCUGGCGCAGAGCAGCCAUUGUUGUUUUUUGAGCAAGCACUGUUGAUGAUUCAUACAGGGGCCGCAGCACUUCAGGCACGCUCCAGGGCUCUAAAUCCAUAUGAUCAACUAUGUGUAUGAUUGAGCCACCCCCUUCACAAGGUCGUAUCAGGUAACCACUCGGCAGCAUUUCAGCUCUCACAAAAUGCUGUACAGGUGGCAUGCUUGGGCCAUUUUGUGUAUUUUUAAGUGACCUUUCACAGAUCACAAGGCUGCCAUCUUCUAAAACAGAAGUAUAGCGCAGCAACCAGAAGUCACGAGCAGGCGCCAAUGUUGUUGGUGCAUAGAGCUGCAUGUACAACAGCUCAAUGGUUCCACCAUUGGCAGUGGGCAGCACAUUCAGCACAUCCACAGCUCGGCAAUCACGGAACCAUGAUGGCCGAUCCUUGAGGAUUUCUGCAACCCUUGUAGGCUCUAAGCCCACCAGGCCACAGGCUCGUGCUGCCACGCCAGUGCAACCAUGAGAAAUAGCAAUGAUUCCAAUGGAAUCCGGACCAGGCUUCAUUCCAGGCAUUUGGACCCACUCCACAGCAGUUCCAGUAGCCUUUGAAAGAAACUCUGUUAAAGUCUCUUCUGCAAUGGACAAAAGCCCUGCAGGACUUGCAUCCCUUGGCGGAUGCUGAGGUGUCAAGUGGUGUUGACCGCUUGUCACCACUGAUUCACAACUUGUAUCUUUGGUUGCAAGCGUUGUGUUCUGAGUAUGUUGGCGAAAGUAACCAUUCUCAUACACCAGCUGCGACACCUGCUUCUGCAACCUAUCAUUUUCCUCCAUAAGAAGCUUGUUCAUUGCAGUCAGCUUCCUAUUCACCGCUUGAAGGCGGGAUGCCUCUUUCCUCUGCUUCUCUCUGCAUCUUCUAUUUUGGAACCAAACUUUGAUUUGUUUGGGUUCAAUGUUAGAGAGAAUCGGGCAUUCCCUAAUGAACUGUUGCCGACGAAUGGAGCUGGGUUUGGGGCAGUCGUGAUAGAGCCUUUCCAGGGCUUCGACCUGCUCAGGCGUGUAGCGGACAUAUUUGCCAUUGUCUAAGUUCGCUGGUUGCUUACCAUCCUUGCAGGACAUUGCCAUCUUCAAAUUAAAAAUCACCACAAUUCUUCACAGAUACCCACAAAAAAAAAAUCAACCCCAAAACCCAAGGUGGGGUUCUCUUUCCUUAGUGAAAAGCUCAAGCAGCUCCACCAACAACCCGAACAAACCCAAGUAGCUCUUUCUUCCCUCAAACUUAUUUUCAGCACCUCGUAGAGCUGGUUAGCACCAAAAAGUAGGCGCAAAUGAGAUUCUAGGGGUACUCUUAGCCGAAAAUACCAAAUAACCACGCAUAACCAAACCAGACCCAAUUAGCUUCCCUCCCUUAACUAUACUUCGAAGCAAUUGGUGAAGCUUCAAAAUCAAGAUACAUAUGAGAUGGCAAUUGAUAAAUAGCCCCAAAUCAACAAUAUCUAAAGAAGUUGAAAACCUAGAACAAACCCGAAUAGCUUUGCUUAAUCACAGAUUAUAUCACUUUCCAGAGCUUAAGAAAAAUAUAAAAAAAGGGACACGAGUUGGACUUCACCCAGAGCUUACAACCACAAAUUACAGUGCCCACAAAAUUUGAAGCAAAUCCUGAUGUUUUGUCCUCCUUAAUCACAAUAUCACGAACCUUUAGCAAGCACUAAAAAUGGGCACCACUGUAAAUCUUCAACUUUUGUAUUUCUUUAAUAGUUGAUUGUGAAGCGCCAGGAUAGAGAUAAAGCCAGAAGAGACAGUGAUAUCCAGAUAGGAGACAUCGUUAUCCUCGUUUUGUCUAUUACUAGACAACUCCCAAACACAAGAAAAGCAUAAACCUUUCGAGAUCAGAGCUCAACACCAAACGAUCUAUUUCACCAAAACACUGAAAAAUGCUUCACGAAACCACCAAAAACAGUAACAGAAACAACACCCAGAAACGUUUCUCCCGAUUCAAACCAAGUCACCACCGAUUGGAGUUGGACUCGGCGGAUAUGAAACAAGAAGAUGAAAUCAGAUUCUUUAACAAAAGAGAUCUCCCGUCACGGCCGGAUAACCAGCCAAAACGGCACCGUAUUAGCGAUCCAAGCUCCAAAAACAAUCGUUCCCAGGUGCUGAAACAUUUUCUAGGGGCUCGUAUCACAUCAUAUCAACACACCCAAAACAAAAAAGCAAAACAAAAGGCAGAAAAUGAAAAGGAAGCGUUUCCGGUUUUGAGAAAAGUUGAGGGCUUUUGCAACAUGUGAAGGAUUUGGAAGGGGGAAAAAUGAAAAAGUAGAGUGGGUAUCGAAAAUUUUAAUAGAGAGUAAAUAAAGAGAAAGAACAGCCUCAGUGGUUGAAGGCGGAGGAUAGGAAAAAAGCAAAUGGAAGUAAAGUACUUUGGUUGAGCUUUUGUUGCUUUGUUUUCAUUGUUUGUUCUUUUGUAUUUUGAGGUUUUUGCUCUCUUGUGUGUGUUUUCGUGUGGGUUUUUUCAUUGGCUCGUCACUUUCGUCUUCAGACAGAGAGAGGGAGAAU
rnacentral:misc_RNA from 1 species